rnacentral:rRNA from 1 species
GGUGCACUUCCCCUCGAUGGGUCAACAUCAGUUUUGUCCGGCGGAUAAGGGAGAUGGGAAAGUAGCACCCCCGGGUGUGUUAUAGCCCUUCGUCGCAUACGCCGGACGGAGACUGAGGCAUGCAGCUCGCCCUCUUUUUGGGCCGGGGUUCGCCCACGACCGAGCUUAGGAUGUUGACAGAAUGGCUUUAAACGACCCGUCUUGAAACACGGACCAAGGAGUCUAACAUACCUGCGAGUGUUUGGGUGUCAAACUCGGACGCGGAAUGAAAGUAAACGAAGGAGGGAUCCGCAAGGAGCACCUUUGACCGAUCUGGAUCUUCUGUGAUGGAUUUGAGUAAGAGCAUGUAUGCUGGGACCCGAAAGAUGGUGAACUAUGCCUGAAUAGGGCGAAGCCAGGGGAAACUCUGGUGGAGGCUCGUAGCGAUUCUGACGUGCAAAUCGAUCGUCAAAUUUGGGUAUAGGGGCG